GCCUGGGUGGCUCAGUCGGUUGAGCGUCCGACUUCGGCUCGGGGUUCGUGGGUUCGAGCCCCACUUCGGGCU